rnacentral:misc_RNA from 1 species
GAUGAAGAACGUAGCGAAAUGCGAUAAGUAAUGUGAAAUGCAGAAUUCAGUGAAUCAUCGAAUCUUUGAACGCACAUUGCGCCCAUUAGUAUUCUAGUGGGCAUGCCUGUUCGAGCGUCAUUAAGUCCACUUAAGCCCUGCUUAGUGUUGGGAGACUGCUCCAGCGGUGCUACCCUGUAGCUACCCUGCAGCUCCUCAAAGACAGCGGCGGAGUUGUGGUAUCCUCUGAGCUUAGUAACUUGUUCUAGCUUUCGAGUACACCACUUCCCCUGCCGUAAAACCCUUAAUUUUUAAUGGUUGACCUCGGAUCAGGUAGGAAUACCCGCUGAACUUAAGCAUAUCAAUAAGCGGAGA